GACGUAGGGGGCCAGCGUUGCUCGGAAUUACUGGGCGUAAAGGGUCCGUAGGCGGUGCGGUAAGUCGGGAGUGAGAUCUCUGGGCUUAACUCAGAGGCUGCUUCCGAAACUACCGUGCUAGAGUGCGAGAGAGGCAAGUGGAAUUGCGGGUGUAGCGGUGAAAUGCGUAGAUAUCCGCAGGAACAUCCGAGGCGAAAGCGGCUUGCUGGAUCGCAACUGACGCUGAGGGACGAAAGCUAGGGGAGCAAACAGG
rnacentral:rRNA from 1 species